ncrna:21S ribosomal RNA from Saccharomyces cerevisiae (PDB 3J6B, chain A)
GACCCGAAAGCAAACGAUCUAACUAUGAUAAGAUGGAUAAACGAUCGAACAGGUUGAUGUUGCAAUAUCAUCUGAUUAAUUGUGGUUAGUAGUGAAAGACAAAUCUGGUUUGCAGAUAGCUGG